GUAUUAACAGCUUCCCAGGCCAAGUUCUUCGGGAUUGGAAUAUCCAUGUCCCAAGCCUUCUGGGCAGCAGACCUUAGAAGCCUAAUAGUGGUUACAUUGGCAUCCCAGAAGGACAAACUCUUGUAAGGCAAAUUGUGCUUCUUGCAUAGGUCCUUCACAGUAGGAGAAAUCUUCCUAAGCUGGGAACGGGGUAGUCGGGGGAACAAAUGGUGCUCAAGCUGAAACUGUAGCCCACCAUAGAACCAGUCCAUCCAACUUGAGCAAGAAAUAUCCACAGUACCAGCUGUCUGCUUCUCAAACCAAUCAUUCCCAGUUGGUGGUCCAAGAUAAGUAUCUCCGGUGAAAUGGUUCAAAGUGAACUGAAUGUGCUGAAGUGCUGUCACUGCAAAGCUCGCAAGCACAAACAUCACCCUCUCGCUCCAAUUGGGCAGACAUGAAACAAGGAGAGGAAACCAAGUCCAGAAAACAAGGAUUCCCAAUAUGUUCAAACCUCUAUCUGGGAUGCUUCUCUUCGAGAACAAUAACAAGAAGGUCUGUAUAAACAAGUUAACCCUUCCAACAAUCAUGAUCGGAUAAUAUGUAAAAUGCUGGUGGCUGACUAAAAAUCUAGCCACAGGAUCAAAGGUUAGCUCUCUUCCAUAAAAGACCGAUGUUAUUGAAUGAAAGAAUUUUGUGGACACUGCAAAGACUGGCAUGUGUUGAAGAUCAGGAUCAUAAUCAAGGCUGUUGCAGGCAAUAUGGUGGGCAUUGUGAGUCCAUUUCCACCAAGCAAUACUGAUCCCAGUAAGGCAAUUUCCAGCCACAAACUGAGCCAUUUUGUUGUAGGUCCGGCUGGACAUGACCUGGUAAUGGCCAGAGUCAUGACCCAUAUAGGCAGCCUGAACCCAGAGGACCCCCAACAACAAACCACAACCCAAAUGGACCAACACACUCUCAGACUUCAAUACACCAUAGACAACAAGGGAAAGCAUUACCACAAGACUUAUCACAGAGUAAAGAGCCCCAUGCCCUUUGUUUUCAAACAAACCCAAUUGGUUAAACUCUGAAGCAAGUUUCCUAUAGUCCUUGGACACCUCUGAGAUCUGGAAAUCUUUUAGAUAAUACCCAGUAAAGAAUUUUCCCAGGUACUGCCAUGCGGAGGCAGGAUGGUAUGCUAUGAAUCCAUCAGUGACAUCUUGGCCAGCCAUAUUGAAGAGAACGGCUUCCCCACCUGGGUGAUCUUUGGCCCAAUCAGAGACAUUGUAAACCUUACCCUUGAUGGAGAUCCACAAGUCCCCUGGUUGCUUGUGCAGCUUCAGCUGCUCAACAGUAAUGUACUUCCUCUCACCCUCCAUUGUGGCUCAACCCUAUAAAAUGGCAAUUCAACAAUAAGAUUGCUAACAAAAAGAUCCACAGAUAGAUCGGCCAACAUAAACAAAUCAAACCAAGACAACCCUUUUGGAUCUCGGUUUGAUAUGCACUCGUAAACAAACAAUUAGAGCAAAAUAGAGCAAAACUUUGCAGUUUAAGGCCAAAUAAAGAAGAAAAUACAGACAAAUGAAGGUGAAAGAUUGAACCUUUCUUCUAGAUUCAAACGCAAACAAAUAAGUUAGAACAAAAUACUGCAGUUACAAGGCAAAUGAAGAAGAAAUAUAGACAAAAAAUAAGGUGAAAGAUUGAACCUUUCUUCAAUAGUCAGUCAACUCACACGCUCCCAGCAAAAUAUCUUCCUGACUUCCAAUCAAUAAGACUAAACUUUGAACGGGUUUAGACCAUUUUCCAAAUUUCCUCAACUGCCCCAGCUUUGGUUUUCAGACUUUUCAAAACCGCCCCCAGGAUAUUUUUGAGCUUCUGCUUCUGCGUUAGAGCGGUAAUGUGUGUAUAUCCAAAGAAACCCACCGAGAGAGAGAGCAACGGAUUAGAAUCGGCCUCGUAUACAACGACGCGCUGCUGUUAUCAUUUAGUCUGCAAGUUAUAUUUUCGCCACAGCUGGUAUCGUUGACCGGUCAACGGAGGUAAAAUAUCGGGGCAAGUUGAGCGCGUUAUACGACCGUCGGGCCGGCUCAGGAGCUGAAGAGGUAUGUGCGACUUCUUGAGUUGAGAAUAAUAUGUGAAGUGGAAGUAAUAUGCUUUUGCAUUUCUCGACCAUGCUAAGUUACAUCAAAGAAUUGUACAUUAAGACUUGAGGACUUGUGCAAGAGGCCCCUAAGAUGAAAAUGACAUGGAUGUGAUGACAGAUGUGUUAGGUUUUAAUUUUAAUUUUUCAAAAAAAACUUAAUGGCGAAGCUUCUUAAUUCUAAAAAAUUGAUUUAAAAUUUCGUAAAUUUAGUAGUAAGUAGUAUUUAAUUCUAUGUCAAAUACUAAGAUAACGUGCUUGACUCUAGUGGGUCGAGCCUGGUCCCAUGAUUAGGCUCAUAUUCGACUUGCAUGACUUGCAUGAGUUGUCAAUUUGUGAAAUAAAAACUUGUAUUACAUAUUGUGAAUUUGAACCACAAAUUUCAAAAGAAUAUUUCCCUUAAUUACACUUUUUUUAUUUCAAAUCAAAUCAUUAAUAUGGUGCAAGAAGUUAGAGGAAAGGCCAAUAGAGGCCUGUUAAACUAUUUUAAAUUCUAAUGUUUGUUUAAUUCUUACAUUACACUUGUCUCCCUUGCAUGGGGUUGGGUACUAAUAUGAAGAGCAAUAUCUCAUUUGAAGACAUGGAGAACAAGUAUCUUAACAUAGGAUUUCUUUGUUAAAUGUUAGGCUAGAGUGUCUUUUUCUUUGGGAAGAGGUUCGUCGAGCAAUAUUUGGUGAUUUUAUUAUUCGAGAGUGGGACGGAAUUUUUAUUUUCUUUUUAAAUUUAGACUUCUUUAAAAUAAAAAAUUAUAAAUAGAACUUAGAGAAAUGCCAACCACAGAAAAGCUAAUUACAUAUCUAUUUGAAAUAAAGCCAUGGAGAUUCAAGAAUCAUUGGUAAUUUGAUAUUAGGGGUUGGCAUUUUAUUGGAUAUUCAGAUUUUAGAAAUUUGCUUAUCUUUUUAUUUUCUUCUGUCAAAGAGAAAUUUGCUUAUCUGGCCUUGGAUGGAAUCACAUGCCCCUGUGCUGUUGUUUGUGGACCAUCAUUGCUAUUUUAUUACCAAACUGAGUGCUUGGGUAGUGGGGAAGCAUCAGUAUGUAGAAAUUCAAUUGUUUUUUUUUUUUUGGUUAAGAUUAAAUGAUUAUUCAUGAUUAUUAAAAGUGUUACAAGGGCCAGUAAUGGACAACAGCACAUGGCAAAUCUCAAUUAUGGGGCCUGAACUUUUCAUGCUUUUCUUUUUUUAAUGAUCUUUUUUAUUGAGAUAAGCGAUAAUGUAUUAAAUUUACAUACUAUAUGAAUAAUGACUUGAACUUAGAACUUUACCUAAAUGAAUAAUUACUCGAAACCACUACACUACGAAUUAUUUGCACUCUAUAUGCCAUUUGUGUCAAGCCAACACCAUCAUAUAAAAUAAAUAAAUAAAAGAGGGGGUUUAAAUAAAAUAUGACAACAUAAGACGAAUGAACUGUUAAGGCACAACACAACCUCAAUGCAUGUCGUGAGCUGUUUGCACAUAGCCAAAAAAUAUGCUUUCAAAGCAUGUAGAAAUCAGAACCCAUUCCUGUGUAAAACAAACACUGGAAAGAAAAUAAGAGGAGAGAUUCAUAUAACAUUGGACUUGUUUUGUAGAAACUGUGGAUUGUUACAUGGCUGAGAGUUAAAAUACAUGCCCCAAUUAAUCAUGUAAAGUCAAUUUCCUUUCUAUUUUCUUGUCGUAAUUUGUGAUAAUUUGCAGAUUGUGAUCUGCAACUCAGUUUGGUAUGGUAAUUUUCACUAUAAUUUACAUAAUCGCGGUGCACAAAAAAGUGGAGAUAAAAAAAUAUUGGUGAAAAUUACAUGGGACCUAAAUGUGCGCUCAAUAUUUUAUAGGAUGUGGAAAUCCCAUUUUAAUUUUGCCUAAUUAAGUAGUUCUCUGCGUUAAUCCUCCAUCAUUUUACACUAUCCACAAUUAGACAUAUAAAAGAGAACGAAAAAAAAAUAUGAUAGUGAUUUUCAUGCUCUUAUUUUGUCCGUUUGCACUCUUUUUCGUUUUUAUGUCUUAAUAAUCUUUUUGUUUACAUAAUUUUCAAAGCAUAAAAAUAAAAAGGAGGAGUUCAAAUGGAUAAAAUGGAAGUGUGAAAAGGCUACACAAGAUGUCUCAAAUAUGUGAGGAUGUGGUCUAGUAUGCCGUGUGCGUUAAUCCACAGCCAUUGAUAAUUUGAUACAAAGGAAUUCAGGUGAGAAACAAAGUGACUUCGCAGCCACGCACUCAUCCACAAAAGCACAGGGUGUUGCCAUCAGAAUGGGGAUAAUUUUCUCCUAUAAAAAGAUCUGUUUAUCAAAAUACUACAAGCAAGCAGUAACAAGAAAAAUAUUACAGCUACUAGCUAAGCAUACAUUAUUCUAGUGUAUAAUGGCACCAAAGUUAGCAAUUUCCGUAGCAUUUCUCAUUUCAGUAAGCCUAGCAGUACAAUUUGGAGCUGAUGCUGCAGGCAUUGCCAUCUACUGGGGUCAAAAUGGGAAUGAAGGUACCUUGGAGGAAACUUGUGCCACAGGCAACUAUGAAUUUGUAAACCUAGCUUUUCUUCCAACCUUUGGCAAUGGCCAGACCCCCAUGAUCAACCUAGCUGGACACUGUGAUCCCUACACUAAUGGCUGCACUGGCUUGAGCUCUGACAUUAAAUCAUGCCAAGCAAAAGGGGUCAAGGUCAUUCUUUCAAUUGGAGGAGGAGCAGGGAGCUACUACCUCACAUCUAAAGAGGAUGCUAGGCAAGUUGCUACUUACUUAUGGAACAAUUUCUUGGGGGGAAGCUCUUCAUCUCGCCCGCUCGGUGACGCUGUUUUGGAUGGAAUUGAUUUCGACAUUGAAGGAGGAACAAACCUACAUUGGGAUGACCUUGCAAGGUACCUCUCUGCAUAUAGUAAACAAGGUAAGAAAGUUUAUUUAACUGCAGCUCCUCAGUGCCCUUUUCCAGAUGCUUGGGUUGGGGGUGCCCUCAAGACAGGCCUUUUUGACAAUGUUUGGGUCCAAUUCUACAACAACCCACCUUGCCAAUACUCCUCUGGGGAUCUUAGCAACCUUGAAAAUGCAUGGAAGCAGUGGAUUUCAGAUAUUCCAGCUACCAAGAUAUUCCUAGGACUACCAGCUGCCCCUGCAGCUGCUGGAAGUGGCUUCAUUCCUGUGGCUGAUCUCACUUCUAAAGUGCUUCCAGCAAUUAAAGGUUCUCCCAAGUAUGGAGGGGUCAUGCUGUGGUCCAAGUAUUAUGAUGAUCAAACUAAAUAUAGCUCUUCCAUCAAGAGCAGUGUCUAAAUUAAAUUCUGAAUCAGAGACAAUUUUAGUUGUCUAUGAUGUUUGUGUAAUUCUUACAUAUAUCAGUAUUAUGCAUAAAUACAUAUAGAAACAUUGUGUGUUCUUGAUACUUAUUUUCUUCUUUUUCUUAACUAAACUUUGCAAGAGGCUUAUAGCUCGAGUGGUUGAGAGCAUUUACUUCUACACCCAAGACCCGGACUUCAAUUCCGUCUACCCAUUAUAUUUUGUAUAAAAAAAACACUAGACUCCAUAUAUAGAAGUCCAAAUUACAGCCAUUGAUAUAAAUUGGAAAAGCUUUCCAAAGUCCAGGAAUGUUGAAAUCUUACAUAUGAUACCAUGCCACAAUAAUUAUUAUUGACUUUUGAAAAGGUUGAUGGUUGCCAAUACAAAGAGAUUCAAAUGUUUACUAAAUCUUGCACACACAACCAAGAAAUAAUCAAAUUGUUAUCCCUAUUUGUAAUUUCUUGGUAUUGAGCAUAAUUCAAAAGGGGAGUAAAUUUGGCAUCCGAGCCAUUCGAAGCUGUUUUUGUUACAAGUUUUUUUUAUUAGGACGAACCAAAAUUUACAUAGCUGUGUCGAAGCUUUGAUUCAAAAUAGAGCACUGGAAAGCGACAUUUUGUCAGACAUUUGAGCACAAUCACGAAACCAACCAACAUUGUUGGUUUGUCCUUCAGUCAGAUCAGAUGGAAAUUUCUCCGCUAAGGCCAUUGCCAACCAUGAGAGGUAAAACGAAAGAGCAUGAAAGCGAAAGAUGGCCUGCAUAAAUUGUGGCCUACAAUGAAUAAAUUCUAGUACAAUACGACCAACUUUUCCCUUUUUCUUUUUUUAAAUUAAGGAGAUUUACUAUUAUAUCUAAUAUAGGAGUCUAAACAUUUACAACAUAACAAAUAGACUUUUAACUUUUUAUAAAUUACAAAACUGCCAUCGAUUUCUUAAAACAAACUCAAUCUCAAAACCUCAUAAAAAAACUCAAAAAACUCAAUAGGACAUCAAAAUAAUUUAAUAAUCAAAAUUAAAUUUUAUUGGGUCAGUUGUAAUUUUUUAGAUUUUUUUAAAUUUGUUUAUAAAAAUUAAAUGAUUUAGAAUUUAUCUUUAUCAUUAAUACUAAAAAUUGAUAUAUAACUAAAUAUCUUUUUAAAUUAAUGUAAAGCAUUAAGAAAAGGAAAUUGAACUUGGAAUCUUUCCUGGAAGAGAGGUUUUAGUUCUAAUUACUAAUUAGCCCCUGGGAAAUAGGCAACCUUGCUGUCUGCUGAGGCAAUGCCUGCACCAAAAUUCAUGGUACAUUUGUCCUUGUCUACAUUAUUUUGGAGGGACCCGAGGUGUCGCAUCUGGGGUGGGGAGAUGCACUCUGAGAGAGCUUGAGGGGGCCGUAAAACUUAUAUCAAAUGGAAUGUUAUACCAUCUGAAAAAAUUAUAACGCGUAACAUGGAGUGAUUGGCUGAGAAUAACAUGGAGUGUUAUCUCAUCGCACAUUGACUAAUUCACUUAUCCCAAAUUUCAUUUUGUUGUCCUUUUGCCUCUGUUCAUACAGUUUAUGGUUGACUGGGGACUAGAGACUGGAGAUAUGAAUAUUCAGUAGCCAUAUAUACUAGUGAAAGGAAAAGAAUUGGACAAGAAAACACAUAAAUAUAAAUUGGGAAUGAAUUUGCCUUUCAUCAAACUAGUAUCUGUAAUAUUAGAAAAGGCCUACCAAAUCAACAAACACAGAGUCGCAUGGAGACACACAUCUCUAUAUAAUCUGUAUUAAAAUGAAAAACAUAAAACUGCAAAUCAACCAAAAGUUAAUACCUUUGUUAUACUGCAAGUUUAGACACAGAAAACAUACAGAAAUAAUAUAUUCCAGAAGAGAAAUGCCAAAGGAAAAAAUAUAUGAAAUCUCAAUUGACAAAACCCAGCUGAUAGAUUAAUUAUCUUCAUCCUAGAUCCCCCAAAGUUGUAUUGUAUAAUAAGAGAAAGGCAAUGACUGUGGGUGGGGCAGUUAAUAUAUUUGACAAGCCUCAGAAAAUCUCAGCCAUGGGUAUUCAGAGCUUCCCAGACUAAGUUCUUUGGGACAGGAUUGGACAGGUCCCUGGCCUGCAGGGCAGCAGUCCUUAGAGUCCUAAUGGUGGACAUAUUGGCCUCCCAGAAGGACAAGCUCCUGUAAGGCAAAUUGUGCUUCUUGCAUAGGUCCUUAACAGUAGGAGCAAUCGUCCUCAGCUGGCAACGAGGCAACCUGGGAAACAAAUGGUGCUCAAGCUGAAAUUGCAGGCCACCAAAGAACCAAUCCAUCCUAGUUGAGCAAGAAAUAUCCAAAGUCCCUGCUGCUUGCUUCUC
rnacentral:lncRNA from 1 species